ensembl:snoRNA
UCCCUCUGGCUCUCUUUCCCAUCAGAUCUUGUUGCUGGUCUUGUGGUCACAAAGACGAAAGAGUUACACCAAAGCUGGCCUCGCCGCCAUGUAGCCUGGUACAGAGCAUAUGGGCCAUAUUCAGACAGGC